UCACUCUUGUUUUUCUUCAGAUCGCAUAAAUCUUUCGCCUUUUACUAAGGAUGUCCGUGAGGAGUAACGAAAAGAGUCUAUUUACAUUUUUUGAUGUUCUGCGAAAGCGGAGU